AGUAACGCGUAAAGAACUUGCCUCACAGCUAGGGACAACAUUUGGAAACGAAUGCUAAUACCUAAUAUUAUGAUAAUAGGGCAUCCUAUAAUUAUGAAAGCUAUAAGCGCUGUGAGAGAGCUUUGCGUCCCAUUAGCUAGUCGGAGAGGUAACGGUUCACCAAGGCGAUGAUGGGUAGCCGGCCUGAGAGGGUGAUCGGCCACAAGGGGACUGAGACACGGCCCUU
rnacentral:rRNA from 1 species